UACGAAGGGGGCUAGCGUUGCUCGGAAUUACUGGGCGUAAAGCGCACGUAGGCGGCUUUCUAAGUCGGGGGGUGAAAUCCUGGAGCUCAACUCCAGAACUGCCUUCGAUACUGGAAAGCUCGAGUCCGGGAGAGGUGAGUGGAACUGCGAGUGUAGAGGUGAAAUUCGUAGAUAUUCGCAAGAACACCAGUGGCGAAGGCGGCUCACUGGCCCGAUACUGA
rnacentral:rRNA from 1 species